AGUGAACGCUGGCGGUAGGCCUAACACAUGCAAGUCGAACGGCAGCACAGUAAGAGCUUGCUCUUACGGGUGGCGAGUGGCGGACGGGUGAGGAAUAUAUCGGAAUCUACUUUUUCGUGGGGGAUAACGUAGGGAAACUUACGCUAAUACCGCAUACGACCUACGGGUGAAAGCAGGGGAUCUUCGGACCUUGCGCGAUUGAAUGAGCCGAUGUCGGAUUUGCUAGUUGGCGGGGUAAAGGCCCACCAAGGCGACGAUCCGUAGCUUGUCUGAGAGAAUGAUCAGCCACACUGGAACUGAGACACGGACCAGACUCCUACGGGAGGCAGCAGUCGGGAAUAUUAGACAAUGGGCGCAAGCCUGAUCCAGCCAUACCGAGUGGGUGAAGAAGGCCUUCGGGUUGUAAAGCCCUUUUGUUGGGAAAGAAAAGCAGCAGGUUAAUACCCCGCUGUUCUGACGGUACCCAAAGAAUAAGCACCGGCUAACUUCGUG
rnacentral:rRNA from 1 species